AUGCCUGCCUGCCUGCUAGAGAACAGCUCUCACCUGAGGCACAGAAGACAGAAGGUGCAGACAGUGAUGCUAUUGACAGCUGACUUCUGGCAAAAGAAAAAACAGAAAGCACAUCUGGGUAACAAACUAGAACAUACAAUCUGGUAGGGCUGUGGAGAAGAUUGCUCAUGACCGCUCAUCAGUUUGGACAUUAUUAUUUGAAGAUAUUAUUUUAUUUUACUCAUCUUCAAGGUAUGGACAGCACUUAUAACUAGAAAACUAUAGUUGGAUAUUGU
rnacentral:lncRNA from 1 species